UCAUUAACAAAAUUUCAACGUUAACACCGUUCGAAACACACACCGCGUACCUUUACCCGUUGCUUCCCCCUGGGCGCGAAACCCCGGGGGGGAGGGAACCGCAAACCCCUUGCUUUCACAACGGAAGUCUGUCUGAAGAUCCGACAUUUUUAAUGUCGUAACGAAACAAAUGAAAAACUUUCAACAACGGAUCUCUUGGUUCUCCCAUCGAUGAAGAACGCAGCGAAAUGCGAUAAGUAGUGUGAAUUGCAGAAUUCAGUGAAUCAUCGAAUCUUUGAACGCACAUUGCGCCCUCUGGUAUUCCGGAGGGCAUGCCUGUUCGAGCGUCAUGAAUCAUCCUCGGGCAUCGGUUGUCAAACAGCCUCUGCUCGGUCUUGGGCAUGAGGGUUCCAUUGUUUUUGGACCCCUCCGCCCGCAAUGCAGUGGCGGACGUCCCGUCGGGAGGUAGCGUGAUGAGCACAUCGACCGCGACUCGCGAAAGGGACCGUCCCGCCGUUAACAACCCCCUCGGAGAACAUUCUCCUGGUUUGACCUCGGAUCAGGUAGGGAUACCCGCUGAACUUAAGCAUAUCAAUAAGCGGAGGA
rnacentral:misc_RNA from 1 species